rnacentral:rRNA from 1 species
CUACGGAGGAUGCAAGCGUUAUCCGGAUUUAUUGGGUUUAAAGGGUGCGUAGGCUGUUCGGAAAGUCAGGGGUGAAAGCCCGGCGCCUAACGCCGGAACUGCCUUUGAUACUUCCGAGCUGGAAUACGGAUGCCGUGGGAGGAAUGAGUAGUGUAGCGGUGAAAUGCAUAGAUAUUACUCAGAACACCGAUUGCGAAGGCAUCUCACGAAUCCGUCAUUGACGCUGAGGCACGACAGCGUGGGGAUCAAACAGGAUUAGAUACCCUGGUAGUCCACGCAGUAAACGAUGAUGACUAACCGUCGGCGAUACACAGUCGGUGGCCAAGCGAAAGCGAUAAGUCAUCCGCCUGGGGAGUACGUUCGCAAGAAUGAAACUCAAAUGAAUUGACGGGG